rnacentral:lncRNA from 1 species
UAUUCCCAGGCCAGAGUCUCUAUGUGACCAGCUGCCAGUGCCUGCUGGGGUGGUGGUGUUUGCUCCGUGUCAGCAAUGCCAAGGCUCCGACUGCCACCAUGAAUCUACCAGCCCUUCAGCCGCUCGAACUGCUCUGCUAUUCUUGGAUUGAGAACAUCAAAGACUUGACUACACUCAGUUAUGUUUUAUUUAUGACAGAACAGACGUGCUUGGGCAUGGUCUUACUGUUCCUACCUGAACAAAGCAGCAGAGUAAAUCAUUGACACAUCUGGCCCAUUGGAAACAGGAAAGCUCAAAGGAGGUGGAAGAAGGGAAAAAUAGCUGCCUUCAGUCCUGCUGCUAAGACUGAAGAUGGUUUAUUCAUCUGUAUAGAAUGAGUCACUCAUCACAGUACUUCCAAGAAGCCAGGAGUCUGCCUGACAUGUACCUCAACCCUCCUCACUUGAAUCAUCUGAAUACCCCAGAAGCCCCUCAGAAAUCCCAUUUACGUGUGUUUCAUAUCGCAGCGUAUUCUGAGUGGCUGCUACCAACCAGCUAUUUGCUUUCCUAUGAAAAAWUUGUGUGAAAACAUAAUCCAGAAGUGAAAAUGGCAUGAAAAUGGAAUUAUCUAUCAGACGGAAGGGGGUGAUCACUCCAAGUCAGGUGUGCAAGUUCAGGUGGGGUACAGCAAAAGCUUCACUGAUGUACAUGUUUGAGGGAUUUCUUCUCUUCCCUCCCCACUCCCCAUCCUGUAGAUUACUUAUCCUUUGAGAAAGAAAAGGAAGGCUGGUAUAAAUUAGGAAUGGUAAUGUAAAAGCUUCUACCCACUGCAUAAAAGUCUUUCAAAUUAAUACAAGCAUUAAAUUGCCAAAGCUUUUCCCAUAUACUGCAGAUAUUAAACAUGACAUGCCUGCUAGGGUUGGUAUAAAAU